GAGUUUGAUCCUGGCUCAGGAUGAACGCUGGCGGCGUGCUUAACACAUGCAAGUCGAACGAAGCACUUAAGAAAGAUUCUUCGGAUGAAAGCUUUUGUGACUGAGUGGCGGACGGGUGAGUAACGCGUGGGUAACCUGCCUCACACAGGGGGAUAACAGUUGGAAACGACCGCUAAUACCGCAUAACCCGCUGGUACCGCAUGGUACUGACGGAAAAGAUUUAUCGGUGUGAGAUGGACCCGCGUCUGAUUAGCCAGUUGGCAGGGUAACGGCCUACCAAAGCGACGAUCAGUAGCCGGCCUGAGAGGGUGAACGGCCACAUUGGGACUGAGACACGGCCCAAACUCCUACGGGAGGCAGCAGUGGAGAAUAUUGCACAAUGGGGGAAACCCUGAUGCAGCGACGCCGCGUGAGUGAGGAAG
rnacentral:rRNA from 1 species